rnacentral:lncRNA from 1 species
UGGCUAUUACAUUCCCUGGCACUUGGGAGACACUCAUUGAAUAUUUAUAGAGUGGAUGCAGAAGCCUACCAUGAAAGGCUUCAUUGAGUAGAUAGGCCUUAAAGGAUAGGUGAGAUCUGGGCAGACAUUGAUAAGGGAGGAAGGCAAGCAGCCACUCCCUAUGGGAGGAACAGGGUGGGCAGAAGAAGAGAAUCAGAGGCUUGCCCAGUGCUGCCCUGCUCAGGCAAGUGAAGGAAUCAGUCUGGAACAAACUGGGGGAAGGGCUGUAGGAAGGGCAGAAAGGGUAGAAAGGGGAGUCAGGGUGAGCAUGUAUGGGGACUUCUGAGUCUGCCUCGCCAGAUGGCUGUUUUGCCAGGCCAGCUUGCUCUGCCUGAUACUUGCCCUUGGUUCCCUCUUUUUUUUCCCCCUCCUUUUUCUUUCUUUCUUUAUUUUUCCUUUUGAGAUGGGGUCUUGCUCUGUUGCCCAGACUGGAGUGCGGUGGUGCAGUCAUGGCUCAUUGCAGCCUCAACCUCCCAGGCUCAAGCAACCCUCCUGCUUCAGGCUCCCAAGUAGCUAGGACUACAGACGUGUGCCACCAUGCCUGGCUAAUUUUUUAAUUUUUUGUAGAGAUGAAGUCUCACUAUGUUGCCCAGGCUGGUGUCAAACUGCUGGUCUCAAGUGAUCCUCCUGCCUCGGCCUCCCAAAGUGCUGAGAUUACAGGCGUGAGCCACCGCACCCAGCCCAGCCCCUCACUUUGAGUAGGCAGAGGUUUGCCUAUUGUGGCCUGGUGGCCAGGCAAGCUGAAGACUUAAAAGGUUCAACCCUACCUCUGCAACCUGCAACUGCGUAACUUUUGGUGUGCUACUAAACUUCCCUAAGCCAUAUCUUCAUGUCUGAAAAUGAGAUGACAGUAGGUACUUUGUAAGUAUCGACAGUUAGUAUUCUGAGUUGGAGUUGUCCAGCCCUCAAUCCUGACAGAUGGGCUACAUUCUCAGAACUAGAAGGAACCUCAAAAGAUUUCCUAGCCGCUGGUUUCCAAACUCUUUUCUUGGAGAACUAGGGAUUUUGUAGAGGUCCUCGGUGGAUGAAGGGACACUGAGCAUGUGGAGCUCCUUCAGCCAGGGCAGCGGGUUCAAAUGUGAGUUACAUGCCAGUUGCAUGCAUCUGGUUCUUUUAGUUAUUGGGAGAUGAGGUAUGAUUUCAUUUGACAAAAAUGGUCCCACUGCUCUUCUUAAAAAAAAAAAAAAUUGUUAAGGCUAGAACCCAUAACUUCUGGUUCCCAGUCUGGAAUUUUUACUAUGUUGUACUUGCUAAAACAGGGAACUGAAAUAUGAUAUAUUCUAAAAAGGUUAUCAUCUUUGAAGAUUAACAUUUAAAACAUUGUUUUUGUAUCUUCCAGUGAAUCAAAAAUUUGUUUACUGUAAACCCCAUUCCUGCCCCAGAAUCCUAGGAACAGAAAUUUUACUGUCAGAGAAAACACCACUCUCAUCACCUCAGAACAGCACUGUCCAAUAGAACUUUCUGCAAUGCUGGACAUGUUCUCUGUCUGCACUGUUGAGUAUGGUAGCUAGUGUAACAAGGAGAUGAUUUUAAAAUUUUACCUCAUUUUAAUUAAAUGUAAAUAGCCACAUGUUGCUAGUGGCUACCAUUUUGGACAGUGUCGCCUUGAGUACAGAGCAGGGGUCAGGUGGCAGUCUCUGGCCCUUUGGCAUCAGAAUCAUCCAGAGAACUUGUCAAAAGUACAGAUUCUGGGCCUAAUGCCCAGUGACUGGUUCAGCAGGACUAGGAGGAAUGCAUUUAAAGAACUUAUCUGGUUAUUCUAAUCUGUGGUCAGAUUGGAAACUGCUGCAUUGGAGAGCUUUUCCUCAGAGUGGAAGAAUAGAGCCAGAAUCAGGCAUUUAGCCCGGCCCUGAUUUUCUAGGGAGACUAGAGGAACCUUCUGGGGAAUGGCAGAUCCUUGGAGAAUCUGUUGAAAGCUAUGGACCAAGUCUUCCCUGGAAAAAUGCAAAUUACAUUUUUCUCCCUGAAUCCAUCCUUGAACCUAGAUUAAGAACUCCUCAUACAGCUGUGCCCAGAGGUUGAUCUGGUACCGUCCAGAUCAUUCCUAUCCCCCAGGCUUCUCCAGGAGGUCACUGAGGCAUCACAGAAGAAAGAACCAACAGUGUCUGUGCAUCAGGCCUCAAAGAAUAUGGAGUGAAUUCUGCUCCUUUCCUUUCCUCUUCUGAUUUCUUGGGCUUAUGGGUGAGCCAUGUGGGUUUGGCUGUUGCCACUGCUCGUGUCCUCAACUCUUAUGCAGAGAGUAGAGGGCCCAAUGCCUUUGGGACAUGAAUAAGCUGAGGAGAGUGUCUAGGCUGAGGAAUGAAUCAGGAGUUUGACUUGCCUUCAAAGGCAGAGACAUAACUGGCUCCCACUUCGUCCUCCCCACAUGCUGCAGGAGGGAGAAGGGGCAAAGUGUUAGGGCCAUGAGCUGGGGUGACAGCCAGAGACCAAAGUCCAGAGCUGGGAAGGCCCCCUAGCCAGUAGUCCUGGACUUAGUACAGAACCAUGAUUUUUGUACACCAGAGUCCAGAUAGAAUUAGGAAAGGAGGGAGGGAGCAAGUGCAUCCGUAUGUGUGUGUGUCUGUGUGUGCGUGUGUGUCUGUGUGGGAGGUUGUGUUUGGGGAGAGCCACUGUCAGGCCAAAGUGUCCCAAGAAUAGCCUCUUGAACUUGGAGGCUGUCGGUGAGGGUCUGAGUCAUGGUGAUGUGGCACAGAAAAGCCAGCCACAGGAGGAGCUUUACAGCUCCCAGGCCAUGAUUUGUGCCCCUGAGAGGUGAGGGUCAGCCUGUUUUCCCCAUGUCCUUCACAAGUUCAGCUGCCAUCUGCUGGGUCAGCUUCUCAACAGCCUUCUUGUUACUGUCUGCCUGCCAGGCUGUUGGAUGAGUCAUCGGGGAGCUGCAAAGGAGUCUCUGAGCGUGGCUGCCUCAGCCUCAGCUUCCACUUCUCUGGGAAGAGGGGAGCCUGGUGUGGUCACAGAGGGGCGCUGGACAGCUGCCUACCUAACACCAAUAUGAAAGGACAACUCUGGGACUCGGGAUGCCCUGCACCCCCUCUGGAGGAGUUCUAGCUCAGGAUGACCUAUCCAGAAGCCUCCAUUGGGCCAUGCCAGGCGGAGACAGGCUAUCAGAGCCCCCACACAGCCAGAUCUCUAAUAGCCACGUGCCCUCAGAGCAGCAACUGCACCACCUGGCCUCCUUUUUCUCAUUCAUCAGGCAGGACUCUCUCUUCCUCCUCAGCAUUCGGGAUCAUCCUGUCUCCAAAGGUUAUGGAAAAGCAAUCUUUGUCCUUUGAGUCCCUCGUUCAGCCAGCGUCAGUUGCGUGGUCUGUGGCCCCUGUGCUAUACACUGGGGAGGCACUGUGUGCAGGGCCCCACCUCUUCCCUCAGGAGCCUGUUGACCAGGGAGGACCUUAGUGUGCCCUCCUGCAUUUGCCUGUAACCCAGGAGCUUGGGGAGUGGGCAUCAUAGCCUAAAGAACCUAGGGUCUGGAUCCUGGCCAUGUCCUGUCACACGUGGGUUGGGCGACCUUGGGCAAGUCUCCACUGAAUUAGGCCUCAGCUUCUUCAAAUAGAAAUGAGGAGGUCACGCUCACAUCGAGCUCCCUGUGAGCAUUCCCUACUGCUGUUAGGUUUGGAGACUUUUUGGUCUGUUCUUAAGAUCUCAUUUCCCCUGGUAAAGAGGCUGAGAACAGUGGGAUCGGCUCUGGGCUUAGGUCAGUUUCUUUUCUGGAGGUAGAGUGGGGUGGGGAGGUGUGAGGUGGGAUGAAAGUACAAUUACAAGAAGCAUAGCCAGCCUUGAAGGGCUUUUGCCUAACUGGAUGUCAGAACACCCCUUAGACUUUUUUUUUCUUUUAGAGACAGGGUCUUAUUCUGUCACUCAGGCUGGAGAAUGCAAUGGUGCAAUCUCAGCUCACUGCAGCCUCAACCUCCUGGGCUCAAGCAUUCCUCCCACCGCAGCCUCUAGAGUAGCUGGGACUACAGGCCAGCUACCCCAGCUAAUUUUUUGUAUUUUUUUGUAGAGACAGGGUUCCACCAUGUUGCCCAGGCUGAUCUUGAACUCCUGGGCUCAAGUGAUCCUCCUGCCUCAGCCUCCCAAAGUGGUGGGAUUACAGGCAUGGGCCACCAUGUCCGG